rnacentral:lncRNA from 14 species
UGUUGGGGGUUGCAGGCAUGGGAAGUAGCUGUAGCAGUUACAGUGUCCUUGAGGAGAGGAAAAUAGAAGUACUAUGUGCCAAGCUUAUCAGAAUAACGGAAUUCCAGGGCUACAGAAAAGCAAAACUUAGAAAUGAUUAUCGUCAUAUGUAGCAACCAAUGAGCAUGGAUUGGCAACCAAUGACUGCAGAGACAAGACUCGUGCCAGCCUCGUGAACAAGGCGGAGGAUCCAAUCAUAUUCUGCGUGAUCGCGUGUACAAGAAAGUUUUUACUGUAUAUUAGUAGCGCUGAUAGAGGCAAUAAAUGGAGCUUCUUUUACCCGCAUCGCAUCGGUGUGUUUCUCCCCUCCACCUGGCCGCGGCAUUUCUGGGGACCCCGGACGUGAUCUCGGAAAGAAGGGCGGACGAGAGAAGGUGGAGAAAUCCCGGCUGCUCAAAGAAGCAGGCUGCUCAAAGAAGCAGGAAAAAUUCGUGGCCACGGCUGACUGGACAGGACCUUGUGGACUUUCUUCUUUGGUGCCGGCGGCAGCGGGGGGAGUCGCAGGUACAGCAGCACUGGAGGCGACAGCGCGCACGGCGGUGCACGCAAUCGCAACAGCGGGCGGUCAGCAGCCGUCCAGGGCUUGGUCCGCGGCGGCGAGGGCAGCCCCGAGCGGGGCCCGGCCGGACGGAGCGGAGCGCGGGACCGCGGGAGCGGGAGGCACGGCGGAGGCGGGCGCAUGCGCGUUGGCGGCGGCAGUUUCACGCAAGGGGUGUCAAAGACGCGCGCGAAGGGGACAAGCCGCCCGACUGCGAUGGCGCGCGAGCAGCGGCCACCCGGGGAACGCGCACGGGAAGUCGGAGCGGGGAGGGUUUUUUCCCCAGUUCGCAGACGCGGCAUGGACACCGGCCGAGCGGGGACCGCGCGCGCCGGUCGCGGGCGUUGGCACGGAGCCAGAUCAGGAUCGGGGCAGCGCGGGUGUCGGUCACAGGCAGAGACGGGGCGUGGUCAGGGUGCAGAGGGUGCCCGAGGUACCGGCCCUGCUCCGAUCCCGUGGCGGCGGGCACACAGCCAGCCCCAGCAGCCAGCACACGGGCAACCACAGCAGCCAGCACACAGUUUCAGCCUCCAUCAAAAUCUCAAGUUGGAGAUUUUUCGUGGGUGCAGCACAUGUUGUGUGAGACACACCGAGCUCCUCAACAGUCCGGUCCCACAGAAGUGACGGAAACAGCAUUUACCAGAUGAUCAGGCUUCAGAUGCAAAAGAUAGAGUCAAAAGCUGUCCAAAAUCAGUGUAAAGUGAGAAAGCACCGGGCUUUUGCCCAAGAUACAGAAAAAGAAAAAGGAAACCUGUGCAAAUCAAUGUUAUUCGAAAUAUGAUGUAGAGGGAAAUCUUCUAUUGUAAAAAAUGCCUCUAAGGGAAGGAAGCUACCAUAUAAAGAUAGAAGUAUUAGUAAUGAUUUAAUUACCUGAAAUAUCUCUGAAGACAGAGCAUUUGAGAAAUAUCAAUCAGAUCCUAUCUGUGGGAUCAUCAGCUGAUUCUCCAAUGGUUCAGAGUUUUGUUGGCAUUGAGUUUGUAACCUUUGUUAUUUUUGGAUUUUAUAGGUGAUACUGAUAAAUAAGGAUUGUUAUUAAUGCUAUAUGAAUACUUUAAAAAGAUCGUGAUAACCCCUUCAAACACUUCCUGUUGAUAAGUUGAUUAUAUAAUGAGAAUUCUCAAAAUUUAUGAUAAGAAUUAUUAUCAAGGUGUUGUAAUAUUUACAGCCAGCUUUAAUGUGUUUCAUUAUCUCUUUGUGUGAUCAUCUACAAGAUCAUCUACGUGUCUCUUCAGAAUCUUCUCUUUUUGUUUCUUAACUACUCAUGUUUUUUGGGUUUCUUUUGAAUCCAGAUUGCCAGUUUCAUGGUUUUCUUCAGUCAUUAUUUCUUCAGUUAUUAUAGAGUACUGCAGCCGAGAAUUCAAGAGGUUUGCUGUGUUUGAAGAAUUUCUAUCCAGACAGAAGUUCGGGAGGAAUUCAAUUACUUAAUGGUUUGAUUGAUUUUUAAUUCUAAGGUUUCCUACUCAUAAUUGCUGUUUUUAAGAGUCUUGUUUUAAAAUGUAUUAAGUGAUGUCCAUCAAUUAGAGUUCGAACUCUGGCCAAGUUCUAGCUCUACUUGAAUGGAAUGAUUGACAAUCAGCCCAGAUGUUUUCUGCAUCAAAAAGUAUUCAAGUCCCUUUGGCUUGACAAUUUGACCAUAUAUGAUAGCUGAGCCUGUUUUCAAAGGGAGUUUGGAGAAACAUGAAUCCGGACAUGAGUUCUCCAGUUCUCUGUUGUUUUAAGGUUCAUCAGCUGUCGCAGACUCUGGGAUGACAGUUCAGUGUUGCAGUGAUUGAUAAUUGUAUGAUUUCAGAUGUGUUAUUGGUUAUGUAUGUAUUGGUAUUAUCUGAUUGAUUUCUAAUUACUGUUAUCUUACAUUUCCCUAUGCAAUAUUGCAUAGAGACUGAAACAGAACAGAUCAAUGUUUCAUUUUCAAAUCAGGAUCCAUUCUUCACCUCCAAGAUUUUGAGAUAAUCCUCCAGUCCUUGCAGGGACAUGGAUUUGUUUGUGUUUUAGCAGGUGCAUGCUUUGUAUGUGGUCAAUUAGGGCACUUAAAAAGAAAUUGCCCUAACCGCCCACAGAAGGCGGGAGGGAAUGGUGCCACAGGUGUAUGUAAUCGAUGUAAUAAGCUUGGUCACAGUGCUGCAGGAGGUAGGUCGCGCUUCAAGAAGGACGGGACUCCACUGCAGGGAAACUUACAGCGCCGCGGGUUGGGCGCGGCUCCGAAAUACCCAGCACCACAGCGACAUGUCAUGGCUGCCUCAAUGAACUCGCCGCUGCCACCUGAGGAAGCGCAAGAGUCGAUUUGGCCGUGGCAAGGACAGUGACUAUUGAUACUACAGAGGUAACCUUGAUUGAUUCCACAGCCUCAGGACCACUGGGACAUGGGUUAAGUGCAUUGUUAAUUGGCAGAUCUUCUAUAAGCAGACAGGGAAUAUUUGUUAUGCCAGGAUUGAUUGAUUCAGAUUAUGAGGGGGUAAUAAAAAUAAUGGUGAAAGUGUUUGCUCCUCCAGCAACCAUUAACCAAGGUAGCAGAAUUGCCCAAUUGAUUCCUUUCAGAGCACAGGUGCCAGUAUCAAUGAACCAGACGAGAGGGGAAGGUGCUUUUGGCAGUUCUGGCAAUACAGCAGGACCUGUGAUAAUGUUUACUACUUUGGUAAGUAAGGAACGUCCAUUACAUCCGGUAUAUAUAUCUUGCCAAGGGUCAGCUCAGCGCAUUGGCGAAGUAGAGAUGAUGUUAGACACUGGUGCAGAUGUUGCAAUCAUUCCAUAUAGUGCUUGGCCAAAAUCUUGGGGCCUCCGCUCGGUUAGCACCAUGGUUAGUGGGAUCGGAGGAGAAUCCACUUCAAUGCAAAGUAUCAAUUUGGUUUGUUUCACAGAUUGUAAAGAGGGAAAGAAAGCCUGGGUGCAUCCCUUCAUAUUGCAUACGCCUCUGUGGAUCCUU